rnacentral:sRNA from 1 species
CAGAACCAGGCAAGGAGGGGCCAACUGCAGGUGAGGGGUUUGAUAAAGUCAGGGAAGCAGAAGAUAGCCCCCAACACAUGUGACUGGGGGGAUGGUCAACAAGAAAGGAAUGGUGAGUGGUGGUGGCUGUGCUCUCAAUUUUCCCUGUCUCCGUACAGGCUCUGUGGGAGGAUCAGGGCUGGGAACUCUAGCCCUGGCCCUGGGGAUCCUGGGAGGCCUGGGGACAGCCACCCUGGUCAUUGGGGUCAUCUUGUGGCAAAGGCGGCAACGCCAAGGAGAGGAGAGGAAGGCCCCAGAAAACCAGGAGGAAGAGGAGGAGCGUGCAGAACUGAAUCAGUCGGAGGAACCUGAGGCAGGCGAGAGUAGUACUGGAGGGCCUUGAGGGGCCCACAGACAGAUCCUAUCCAUCAGCUCCCUUUUCUUUUUCCCUUGAAUUGUUCUGGCCUCAGACCAACUCUCUCCUGUAUAAUCUCUCUCCUGUAUAACCCCACCUUGCCAAGCUUUCUUCUACAACCAGAGCCCCCCACAAUGAUGAUUAAACACCUGACACAUCUUGC